UCGGGAAUUUUGGGCAAUGGGCGCAAGCCUGACCCAGCAACGCCGCGUGAAGGAUGAAGUUUUUCGGAAUGUAAACUUCACAAGAAUGGGAAGAAUAAGUUUUGGCUAAUAUCCAAGACGAUGACGGUACCAUUUGUAAGCUCCGGCUAACUCCGUGCCAGCAGCCGCGGUAAUACGGGGGGAGCAAGCGUUGUUCGGAUUUACUGGGCGUAAAGGGCGCGUAGGCGGCGCCGCAAGUCACUUGUGAAAUCUCCGGGCUCAACUCGGAACGGCCAAGUGAUACUGCGGUGCUAGAGUGCGGAAGGGGCAACUGGAAUUCUUGGUGUAGCGGUGAAAUGCGUAGAUAUCAAGAGGAACACCUGCGGCGAAGGCGGGUUGCUGGGCCGACACUGACGCUGAGGCGCGAAAGCUAGGGGAGCGAACGG
rnacentral:rRNA from 1 species